GGUGUUUGCCAGACUUGUUACUGACUGGCUUGAAAGUUUGAAAUGUAGUCUUAAAGCAAUGUUUGGACUUUUUUAUUUGAAGUUUUGAUAAUAUGAUGAAAUAACGUACUUUGAUGAACAUUCUGAAUAAUUUGGUAAACUGUAGAAAUCAACAUUCUGUAAAAGCUGAAAAGAGUGAUUCAGUGAGUUAUGAUGGACCUUUUUUGAAUGCCCUGAACUACUGAACAGGUUAAACUCUUGCCCCAAGGCAAAAUUUACGUUGAACAGAAGAUCCUAAGGAAUGUGUGCACAUCGGCUGCCAAAAAUGGAGCGAAAGGGAGAUGUUACCUCAUGAUGUAUGGACUUUUAGACAAGGUACCCUGCACAAGUUUGCCAGCUCAAGGGGAACAGGAGUGGGAAAACCGCACCCUGGUGAGGAGCAAAUACCUGUCCUUGGCCGACAAUCUGGAUUUGUUGAGAGAGAUCAUGCAGAAGCAGUACAAGGUCAAAUCUGUGCAAGUGCGAGAGAAGAUCCGCGGCCUACUGAAACCCAGCAAAUUAAAUAAACAGUUUUAAUAAAUGAUGGGAGUUCUAUACUAAAAACAGUACCCUGGUGCUCAUGUGUACAUAUUGUGACAUAAUAGCUUAAAAUAAUUCUGUGUCAAAACAUGUUUAAAGAAUUUCCAUUGAUCAUUGUUUCUUUUGUUUCUUGGCAUAUAGCUCGGUUGUUUUCGGAGAUAACCCGAGGUAUUGUCAUAGCUAGCACAUCGUGUCGUGUCGUCCGCUGUAGGAGUCCUGCUAAAACUUUAACAUUGGCUCUAAAAUCAAAGUGCUUCCAGGUCAAAGGUCAAGGUCACUGUGACCUCUAAAAAAAUAUAUUCUGACAAGCUUUCAUUUAUUCUCAAAACUGCACCCGCAGCCGAGUGUUGGCACCCGUUAUGCAGUGCUCUUGUUACAAGGUUUGUGACUGUACAUUGCUGGACUUAUUUGUAUUUUUAUGGCUUUGAAUACACUUUUUGAGGGUA